GUGAACGUUAAGAUUUUCCAGCAGUGAGGAGGAAACCUGCUGCCAGUUCAGCUCCAUGUGACUGACUGUGUGUGUUUGCAUAUGUGUCCUGCCUCUCUGCUCCAGCUGUUAAGAGGUCAGAGUUGAUCAGUGUCUGUCCAGGCCUUUCAGAGCCACUGACACACCAGCAGCACAAUGAUGAUGUCACUGACUCUACUGCUGACCAUCCUGGGGCUCCUGGUUCAGGGUUCAUUAGGAGACAUCAUCCUGACUCAGACUCCUGGAUCUCAGUCUGUUGUUCCAGGACAGACUGUCUCCAUCAGAUGUAAAACUAGUUCAAGUGUUAGUAGCAACCUCCACUGGUACCUUCAGAAACCUGCAGAAGCUCCUAAACUCCUGAUUCGAUAUGCUACAACUCUUCAUUCUGGAGUUCCAGCUCGGUUCAGUGGAAGUGGAUCUGGUUCUGAUUACACUCUGACCAUCAGUGGAGUUCAGGCUGAAGAUUCAGGAGUUUAUUACUGUCAGCAGAGUUACAGCAGACCGUUCACACAGUGAUAGAACGUCGUACAAAAACCUCCCUCAACUGGAGAGGAACUGAUCUGACUCAAGAGCUGCUGGGAAACUAAAACACUAAAAGUAUCCAGUAAAAAUACAAUGUUAAUUAUUCAUGAAGACCCUGUUUAAAUAUUUAUUUAUUUGCUUUUCUAAUUGAGUAGAUUUUUUUUGUCUAGGUCUUUUGAAUAAAUUAGUGAGAGUGAUCUUUUAUGACUGAAAAAACAAAUAAUAGUAAAACGACAAUUUUGUGAUUAUUUAAAUUUGUUCAAUUGACCAAGUGUUGAAUAAUGAGUCAGUAAAUUAUUUCAAUUCUGCUCGACUUUAAAGAUUCAUAUAAAUAAAAAAGUCUAACCUUUUUGAAAACAGGUCAGAUUUGAUCAGUUUCAGUUCAGACCUUUCACAGCCACUGACACCAAUUUCUUCUGUCAAAUUACUUACUUAUUAAAAUUAGUCUUAAAAAAUUACGUAUCUGACUUGUGCUGAUAAAAAUAUCUCAGUAACUUUUACUGUCUUGUUUUUAAUGAGAAAAGUGCACAAAUGGUUUGAUGUGUUUUAAAUAAAAGCUU